AGGUCUCUGCUAUCGGGGUUCGAUUAAGCCAUGCGAGUCGAGAGGGUUCGGCCCUCGGCGUACUGCUCAGUAACACGUGGAUAACCUGCCCUAGGGAAGGGGAUAACCCCGGGAAACUGGGGAUAAUACCCUAUAGAUUACAGAUGCUGGAAUGCCCUGUAAUCCAAAGUUCCGACGCCCUAGGAUGGAUCUGCGGCCGAUUAGGUUGUUGUUGUUGGGGUAAUGGCCCAACAAGCCCGUAGUCGGUACGGGUUGUGGGAGCAAGAGCCCGGAGUUGGAUUCUGAGACACGAAUCCAGGCCCUACGGGGCGCAGCAGGCGCGAAAACUUUACAAUGCGGGCAACCGUGAUAAGGGAACCUCGAGUGCCUGUAAAUGCAGGCUGUUCAGGUGCCUAAAACACACCUGAAGAAAGGGCCGGGCAAGACCGGUGCCGCCGCCGCGGUAAUACCGGCGGCUCGAGUGGUGGCCGCUUUUAUUGGGCUUAAAGCGUUCGUAGCUGGGUUGUUAANUCUCUUGGGAAAUCUGGCGGCUUAACCGUCAGGCGUCUAA
rnacentral:rRNA from 1 species